GAACGCACAUUGCGCCCGCUAGUAUUCUGGCGGGCAUGCCUGUUCGAGCGUCAUUUCAACCAUCAAGCCAUAGGCUUGUGUUGGGGCCCUGCGGCCGUCCGCAGCCCCCUAAAAACAGUGGCGGGCUCGCUAUAUACCGAGUGCAGUAGUUUACUCUUCGCUCAGGACAUGUAGUGGGUUCUUGCCGUAAAACCCCCCAUUUUUUAAGGUUGACCUCGGAUCAGGUAGGAAUACCCGCUGAACUUAAG
rnacentral:misc_RNA from 1 species